rnacentral:rRNA from 1 species
CAAUGGGGGGAAACCCUGAAUGCAGCGACGCCGCGUGAAGGAAGAAGUAUCUCGGCUAUGUAAACUUCUAUCAGCAGGGNAAGAUAGUGACGGUACCUGNACUAAGAAGCCCCGNNNUAACUACGUGCCAGCAGCCGCGGUAAUACGUAGGGGGCAAGCGUUAUCCGGAAUUACUGGGUGUAAAGGGUGCGUAGGUGGUAUGGCAAGUCAGAAGUGAAAACCCAGGGCUUAACUCUGGGACUGCUUUUGAAACUGUCAGACUGGAGUGCAGGAGAGGUAAGCGGAAUUCCUAGUGUAGCGGUGAAAUGCGUAGAUAUUAGGAGGAACAUCAGUGGCGAAGGCGGCUUACUGGACUGAAACUGACACUGAGGCACGAAAGCGUGGGGAGCAAACAGGAUUAGAUACCCUGGUAGUCCAAGGGCGAAUUC